GGUUUUAUAUUCAAUAAUGAUUUUAAAUUGCAAAUUUAAAGGUAAAUAAGAUAUUUUUAAACCU
rnacentral:tRNA from 1 species